UACGUAGGGGCGAGCGUUGUCCGGAUUUAUUGGGCGUAAAGAGCGUGUAGGCGGCCAGGUAGGUCUGCUGUGAAAACUCGAGGCUCAACCUCGAGACGUCGGCGGAAACCAUCUGGCUAGAGUCCGGAAGAGGAGAGUGGAAUUCCGUGGUGUAGCGGUGAAAUGCGCAGAUAUCAGGAGGAACACCAAUGGCGAAGGCAGCUCGCUGGGACGGUACUGACGCUGAGACGCGAAAGCGUGGGGAGCAAACAGG
rnacentral:rRNA from 1 species